rnacentral:rRNA from 1 species
CGACGCCGCGUGGGGAUGAAAGGACCGUUCCGGGUUUGGUAAAACCCCUUUCGGACAGGGACGUAAGCGGAAAGUGACGGUACCUGCACGAAGAAGCGCCCGGCUAACUACGUGC